CUUCCGGUCAACGAGGUAGAUGUACCUCGCUGAUUGGAAGGGUUUCCUUCCAAUCAACAAGGUACAUCCUUGUUGACCGGAAGGAAACCCUUCUGGUCAGGGAGGUACAUCAACCUCUUUGACCAGAAG
rnacentral:miRNA from 1 species